AGUGAACGCUGGCGGUAGGCCUAACACAUGCAAGUCGAACGGCAGCACAGUAAGAGCUCGCUCUUACGGGUGGCGAGUGGCGGACGGGUGAGGAAUACAUCGGAAUCUACUUUUUCGUGGGGGAUAACGUAGGGACACUUACGCUAAUACCGCAUGCGUCCUACGGGUGAAAGCAGGGGAUCUUCGCACCUUGCGCGACUGAAUGAGCCGAUGUCGGAUUAGCUAGUUGGCGGGGUAAAGGCCCACCAAGGCGACGAUCCGUAGCUGGUCUGAGAGGAUGAUCAGCCACACUGGAACUGAGACACGGUCCAGACUCCUACGGGAGGCAGCAGUGGGGAAUAUUGGACAAUGGGCGCAAGCCUGAUCCAGCCAUACCGCGUGGGUGAAGAAGGCCUUCGGGUUGUAAAGCCCUUUUGUUGGGAAGGAAAAGCAGCGGGUUAAUACCCCGCUGUUCUGACGGUACCCAAAGAAUAAGCACCGGCUAACUUCGUG
rnacentral:rRNA from 1 species